CAAAUUUGUAAACUGUAUAUCAACUUGAAAAAAAAGGAUCUAUGAAAAAUAAAUUAACUUAGAAAUAAAUAAAAUUUUAAUAAUUAACAUUUACUUAAGUUAAUACGCUUUCUAUAAACAAAAAACACACAGAUCCAAAGUGACCACUCAAUCUAUUCGGCAGAGGUAAUGUGCAAUAAUUCACAUCCGCUGCCUUCGAGCCUUCAUUUCUGCAAAUUUAUCGAUUACUUCAUCAAAGCCAAUCUUCCUUGCAUAUUCAUGCUCAACUGAAAGUAUAGCCAGAUUUGUCAACCUUGUCUCACUCAUGGUUGAGCGAAUUUUUUUUUUUUUUUAAAUCAGUUUUAAUUUGGAAAAACUUAUUUCACAUGAAGCAAUAGACACACAGAGUCAAAAAGAAUCUUAAACACAGUGACAUUUGACAGAGAUUCACAAUAAUCCCAUUUAACAAUGAACUGCAAAGCCGUCCAUUUCUUUGCUUCUUCAACACUGAGAUUGGCAGCUUCCAAAUGCUUCCGAAGAUGUUCAAUUUCCCUAAAGAUGUCUUCAUUAGAGAAUUCGUCCAAAAUCUCAGUCAAUUUUGGAGGAUAAUUACAAAUAUUUUUCUCUGUGGGACACAUCAGGGGUGCUGUCAAAAAGAAUCCCAAAGUACUUUGCUUUCUUGAUAUCAGCCACUAUUUUGUCCUUCACAUGAUUUCCCAAAAGACCUCGUUCUGAAUUUUUGAAGAGAAAUAGGAAGUCAUUCUAUUUCCAGAUGCAACAGCAUGUUUCAGCCUCAUGAAAUGUUCCUUUAAAAUCGGAUCAUAGUUUGAGAGCAAUUCUACCAAUUCGAGUAAGUUGCCUUUGUUUGUGGAUGACAUGGUCUCUCUAUGACCACGAAAGGGGAGAUUCUGGUGGGCCAGAAACAAAGUUACAUCCAAAAGGCAAUGCAAAAUAUCCCUCCGUUUCCUUUUCUCUCUGUCCACUGUUGUUUGAUGGACAUGAUCAAGGCAUUUUUGUAGCUUCAAUCCUGCUCUCAAGUACUUCCAUUUCUCCAAGCAUGUAAGAUGCUGCUCAGAAGCCUCAUGAUCAGACACUAGUGAUGUCGCGAACCGUCCGCAAACUUGCCGCGAACCCGGUCAGCUGACACAUCCCUGCCAAUCUCCGGCAGACCCUCUCUCCCAGACCCUCCUACUUCCUGGACAGCAUUCAUGUUGAAGGCAGCUUCAACAUGGAUGCUGUCCAGGAGGUGGGAGGGUCUGCCGGAGAUUGGCAGGGAUGUGUCAGCUGACCGGAGUUCGCCGCAAACCGUUUGCGACAUCACUAUCAGACACCUUUGGGUUCAGCUUCCACCACAAUUGAAACCCAGUAACAUAACUGGAUGCCCCUGUUACUUUGUCAUCAACAGCAAAACGUCUGCAGGAAAAACAAAACAAACUUUGUUUUGAUGGAGAGUACACCAUCCACGUUCUAAGAAUUUUUUCGCCAUUAGGCAGAGACUUAUAGAACCAUGAAGUAGCCAGGUGUCAACUCUUCCCUUUUGAUUUCUCUCCUUGCCUUUCAACAGGACUGAAUGGCCCAUCUCUAUUUUGGAAAGGUUAACUUCCCCUCUUAAUAAGGUCCACUCUUAAAACAUCUGGAACUGGAACUGGCCAAGCAGUAACAUCAGAAUAAGAUAGUCGAACAGUCUCCUCUUCCUCAUCAUCAUCAGUCUUGCUGAUGCAGGCUUCUGCUGGCAUCUCCUUCAUCUACAUCACUUUCACUGCUUGAAGAUAAAAUGAUCUUCUCCAAUUCUUGUGCUUUCACAUAUGGAGCUUCUUGAGAAGAUACUUCAGGCAUUUCACCUCUGGAUUCAACAGACUGAACAUCUUCAGCACUUUCUCCUACUGCGGUAGAUGUUGAAGGUGCAACAUAUUUUAAAACUGAUCCAGACAUCGCCUCAGCUGACUUUUCUCUUGCCUUCCUAAUUUUUCAUUGCUGAGACCCGCUUGGUCGAUUUUGCUUCAUAUUGGUGUUUUCUGCAGAAAAAUCCUAAAUGUAUUUUGGCUCUAGGGUUCACUAGUGCGAUAUCUCUUAUAUUUCCCAUCUUGGCAUACCAUUUGUAAAAGUAGACAACCCAGGGUAUUUAAAGGGACACUAUAGUCACCUAGACCACUUCAGCUCAAUGAAGUGGCCUGGGUUCCAGGUCCCCCAGAUUUUAACCCUCCAGAUACAAAAAUCGCAUCCAGCUUGAACGUCCAUAAGAAAGCAUUGAGAAAUGCUUUCCUAUGGACUGUUUGAAUGCGCGCGAGGCUCUUGCCGCGCAUGUACAUUCGGCUCCACUCAGGAGCUGACGUUGGCGGGGGAGGAGAGGUCACCACUAGAGGCUGGAUUAACCCUCAGUGAAACAUCUCUGAAACUGCUAUGUUUUCAGUUGCAGGGUUAAAACUAGAGGGACCUGGCACCCAGACUACUUCAUUGAGCUGAUCCUUUAAGGGGUUAAACACAUUUCUAGGAAGAGAAACGGCACAGGAAAAGGAUUUGGGUUCAAAAGAUGUAGCGGCUAGGGCAGAGGUUUUGUAUAAAUGCGCCAGUUUUGUAGAACGGGGAAGACCAGUGCUUUUGUAGAAAGGGGCUCGUGAGAAACUUCUAGAAAACUCCUGCCCUCCUCCUUUCUACAAAGCCCCUUGUCUCGCCCCUUCUAGAAAACCCCUGCACACUGAUCACAUAAAUUUCAUACACUCCCUACAUAUAAAAACCCUGCACACCCCCUUAAUUAAAAAAAACCUGCACAACCCCCCUUAAUAACAAAAAACCUGCAGUGCACAUCCUCCUUUAAUAAAUAAAAUACUGCAACCCCCUUAAUUAAUAGAAACCUGCACCCCCCCAUUAAACCUACCCCCUUAAAUAAACCUCCCCUGCGCUGCACCCCUCUUUAAUUAAACCUCCCCCCUUUAAUUCUUUAAUCCUCACCCCUUAAUUAAUCCGCACCCCCCUUUAAUUAAACCUCCCUCCCCUUUAAUUCUUUAAUCCAUUAUCCACCCCCCUUUAACUAAUUUAGCCCCAUCACAUAAAAUGACUACUCACAUUUUGAUGAUGCCUUGCCUCCGAGACCGACCACUGGGUGCCUCACCGCCCGGAUAUUGGAUCCUUCCGUUGAAGAUCCGUGAAGGCGGACUGACGGCGCUGCGCACGUCAUCACGUUGCGCGCAAAGGUGCUGCGGCUGUGCGCAGUGUAAUGAUGGGGGGUGACACAUGACACUGGAAGUCAUGGCACCCCCCCAGUCAGUGGCACACGGGGCGGGUCGCCCCCCCUUAGUACGCCACUGGGUUGCUCAUCCAGAUUCUGGCUUGCUUAAGGAUUCCCUCCCCCCUAGUCUUUCUUCCUCAUUUCAGGUAUACACUCUACAUAAAUAUAUUUUGAUUGCCCUACACAAUCUUUGGCUGACAAUUUGUUUUGUUGUACAACAAGGUUGUUUUUUUUUUUUUUUCCUUAUUAAAACAUUUGAAUAAAAAUAAAUGCAAAUCCUGUUGUAGUGUGCUGGAACGACAUGGUCAGCUCUUCAAGUCAAUAGUGUGUGUGUAUGUAU